CUAGCGACUUCAGAGUUUGAUCCUGGCUCAGGAUGAACGCUAGCGGCAGGCCUAACACAUGCAAGUCGAGGGGCAGCGGGAAUGAAGCUUGCUUCAUUUGCCGGCGACCGGCGCACGGGUGCGUAACGCGUAUGUAACCUACCUCAAACAGGGGCAUAACACUGAGAAAUUGGUACUAACUCCCCAUAACACCAGAUAGGGCAUCCUAUUUGGUUGAAAGUUCCGGCGGUUUGAGAUGGACAUGCGUUGUAUUAGUUAGUUGGUGAGGUAACGGCUCACCAAGACGACGAUACAUAGGGGGACUGAGAGGUUAACCCCCCACAUUGGUACUGAGACACGGACCAA
rnacentral:rRNA from 1 species